rnacentral:rRNA from 1 species
GACGAACGCUGGCGGCGUGCUUAACACAUGCAAGUCGAACGGAAAGGCCCUGCUUUUGUGGGGUGCUCGAGUGGCGAACGGGUGAGUAACACGUGAGUAACCUGCCCUUGACUUUGGGAUAACUUCAGGAAACUGGGGCUAAUACCGGAUAGGAGCUCCUGCUGCAUGGUGGGGGUUGGAAAGUUUCGGCGGUUGGGGAUGGACUCGCGGCUUAUCAGCUUGUUGGUGGGGUAGUGGCUUACCAAGGCUUUGACGGGUAGCCGGCCUGAGAGGGUGACCGGCCACAUUGGGACUGAGAUACGGCCCAGACUCCUACGGGAGGCAGCAGUGGGGAAUAUUGCACGAUGGGCGGAAGCCUGAUGCAGCAACGCCGCGUGCGGGAUGACGGCCUUCGGGUUGUAAACCGCUUUCGCAUGUGACGAAGCGUGAGUGACGGUAAUGGGUAAAGAAGCACCGGCUAACUACGUG